GCGCGGCGAUGGCGGCGCCGGGCGCUGAGGAGCUGCGGGCGGGCGGCCCGGGGCCCGCGGGCGGCCCGGGGCUGGGCCCGGGGAUGGGCCCAGGGAUGGGCGCUAUCCCGCCGCACCCUGGCGUCCCGCCGCAUCCCGGUGUCUCGCGGCGGCGUGGGCGCACGCUGCUGGUGCGGCACCUGCCCGCCGAGCUGACGGCGGCGGAGAAGGAGGAUCUGCUGCAGCACUUCGGGGCCGUGUCUGUGCGCGUCCUGUCGGACCACGGGCGGCUGAAACAUACUGCUUUUGCCACCUUUCCCAGUGAAAAUGCAGCUGCAAAGGCUUUAUCAAGACUGCAUCAGCUGAAACUUCUAGGUCACACGUUAGUUGUUGAAUUUGCAAAGGAGCAAGAGAGUGCACAGGUACUUAGCCAGCCUUGUGUCUCAGACAAGUGCAAAAGUUUAGAAGAACCAGUGAAAGAAGAAGAGAAGAUAGAACCAAACUGUGUUAAAAUAGAGCAUGGAAUCGCACCCAAUCAUGGCCUCACCUUUCCCAUCAAUUCUUGCCUCAAAUAUUUGUAUCCACCACCUUCAAGUGCAAUUCUAGCAAAUAUAGCAAAUGCCUUGGCAAGUGUGCCCAAAUUUUAUGUCCAGGUACUUCAUCUGAUGAAUAAAAUGAAUCUUCCUCCACCUUUUGGACCAAUUACUGCUCGGCCUCCCAUGUACGAAGAGUAUUUACCAGCACCAGUGCCACCUCCCCCAAUCCCACCUCUGCCUCCUGAAGAGCCUCCUUUACCUGAAGAGGAAGAGGAAGGACUGUCUAGUGGGGAUGAAUCAGAAUAUGAAAGUGAUAAUGAUGAGGAAAAGGAGAGAAUGACCAAGUUGAUGGAAUUAGCUACCCUUCAGCCUAAAAGACCAAUAAACACAAAGAAACGUGGUGUUAGAAAAAAGCAAAGAAUUAAAGACAUGUUGAAUGUUCCAGUGUGUACUUCCCACAGUAACUCGCACUCUACACUGUCACCUUCAGAUGUCUUUGAGCAGCCGCAGCACAUAGGUCAUAAAAAAAUAGAGUUUCAUAUUAGUACUGAGAUCCCAGCUGUUCUUCAGAUAAACUCAGAAAAAGAAGAAAAAAAUGACCUUUAUGCAGCCACAGAAGAAAUCAAUAAUACAGGCUUUGGAAGGAUUUUCCCAGCUCCUAGCUCAAAUGAUAAAAUGGAAACUGAAGAGGAGGAUGAUGAAAUACCAUCAGAAUUUAUUUCUAGAAAGGAUCUAGAAAAAAACAGACUUUCUAGAGAAGAAAUGGAAAAAUAUUCCGUUUUCAAAAACUAUGAGCCAGGUGAUCCAAAUUGCAGGAUAUAUGUGAAGAAUUUAGCUAAACAAGUUCAAGAAAAGGAUCUUAAGUUCAUUUUUGGAAGAUACGUUGACUUCCAAUCAGAGGUGGAACGCAAUAUGUUUGAUAUCCGUUUGAUGAAAGAAGGCCGUAUGAAGGGACAGGCUUUCAUUGGACUUCCCAAUGAGAAAGCAGCUGCUAAAGCACUAAAGGAAGCAAAUGGCUAUGUCUUGUUUGAAAAACCCAUGGUGGUUCAAUUUGCCCGUUCAGCUAGACCAAAACAGGAUGCCAAUGAAGGGAAAAGAAAAAAGUAAAACACUGCACAAGAAACAUUCCUGCGUAAAUACUGCAGUAAUACUGUCAUGCAGAGUGUAUCCUUUCUUGUUGUAUCCUUUUUUUGUGCAAUGUUUCCUGUAGCACUCAACUGCAUCAUAAGUUUUCAUAUAGAGUAGGUGUGGGGAGGAGUUAAUGUGUUUUAAGCCUGAGCUAAUCUAAUAAUUUUAAAAACCAAGUUUUUUCAGGGGGGAAAAAAGAAGCCAAUGUCUGUGUUGUGUGAAUAGACACAAUGAAGGUUCUUAAUCUGAAAAGGUGCCCUUCACCUUUUUCCUCACCCUGUUAAUUUGUGGUCCUAUUCCUUAGUGGAACAGUUCUAGCUCAUACCAGCUGAUCUAUGUGAAGCUGUGCUGAGCUCUCACUGACCAAGUUAACUUAUUUUUCUUUAAAUACAUAUUAAUAUAAUAAUAUGUUAGCUAAAAUACAUUGCAGAGUAGUCUUAAUAUUAAGGGGUUGACCAGUAUUUUAGAUCAUUUGAUGAUUACUGUUGUCCUACUACAUGAGAAAAUCUGGAGUUGAUUUAGUUUAUACAUUCCUUACUUUGUCUUUUUUGAGUAAAGAAGAAAAUUAACAAUAUCUUGCAAUUAAGUAUUUGGAGCUGGACUAAUAAUCAACUCACUGCUACCUUUUUGUUGGUUGUUUGGGAUUUGUUAGAUUGCUCUCUGCACUGAGGUAGUGUUGUUGCUAGUGACUUACAUGUUUCCUGUGGGUUUCAUAUUACACUACUGUUUAACUUCCUAUAAUAUUAAGUUAAUACAGCCUGCAUUUAUUAAGAUGUAUUUUUCACAGACAUUAAGCAUUUUUUAAAACACUAAGCAUCUUUCAAUUUAGUUGUCAAAAGCCAAUAUAACACUGCUGUUUUUUGGUUGUUCUUACUUUUAACAUGCCUUUGUGAUGUUCCAGGUCCCUUUUGUGUUCCAUCUCUUUCAAGUAUUACCAAGCUGGGGAAGAAGCAGUGUAAUCAUCAGGACUCUUGAACUGAACAUGGACAGUUAGUAAGAAGAGCAGAACUGAUCACAAAGCACUGGAUGGGGAUCUAUUUUCUGCUGUUAACUGCAGGGCUCUGCUGGGGGCAGUACAACCCCAACACUCUCCCAAAGAGAACAUCUAUUGUGCAUCUCUUUGAAUGGCGCUGGCAGGAUAUUGCUCAGGAGUGUGAACGCUACUUAGCUCCUAAUG